rnacentral:rRNA from 1 species
UAUGUGAUCGUCUCUCGCAUAUCAAUAAGCGGAGGAAAAGAAACUAACGAGGAUUCCCCUAGUAACGGCGAGUGAAGCGGGAAGAGCUCAAAUUUGAAAUCUUAAAGGGUUUCCCUUUACGAAUUGUAGUUUAAAGAAGUGUUUUCUGUUGAGGUUUUGGUAAAAGUUCUUUGGAAUAGGACAUCAUAGAGGGUGAGAAUCCCGUAUUUGACCUUUACUUUCAACUUUGUGAUACACUUCAAAGAGUCGGAUUGUUUGGGAAUGCAGUCCAAAAUGGGUGGUAAAUUUCAUCUAAAGCUAAAUAUUGGCGAGAGACCGAUAGCGAACAAGUACCGUGAGGGAAAGAUGAAAAGAACUUUGAAAAGAGAGUUAAACAGUACGUGAAAUUGUCAAAAGGGAAGCGUUUGACACCAGUGUUGUUUUUCUGAAAAUCAAUUAAAGAACUGUUUAUGCUAAGUUGUUUAGACUUUAUCAGCUAACUGUUUAGUUUUGAGCUUUUCUUUAAUGCACCUUUCAGUUAACAAGUCAACAUCAAUUUCUUUUGCUGUAAAAAAGCUUGAGGAAGGUGGCUUGAGAUUCGUCUUAAGUGUUUAUAGCCUCUUGCCUAUGCAGUCGGAGAGAUUGAGGUCUGCAGCGUAGAUCCUUCGGGGCUAAAUGCAUUUGUGCUAAGUUAUAGCAUUUUAUAGACAACUUGUUGACUAUGAUUUGUCUUGUAGCUUACUCGCUUAUGUUAUUUUACCUACGCUUAGGAUGUUGAUCUACAGAGCGAGAGU